rnacentral:rRNA from 1 species
CAAGUCGAACGGGCAUCUUCGGAUGUCAGUGGCAGACGGGUGAGGAACACGUGGGAACAUGCCCUUCGGUUCGGAAUAACUCAGGGAAACUUGAGCUAAUACCGGAUACGCCCGAGAGGGGAAAGAUUUAUUGCCGAAGGAUUGGCCCGCGUCUGAUUAGCUAGUUGGUGAGGUAACGGCUCACCAAGGCGACGAUCAGUAGCUGGUCUGAGAGGAUGAUCAGCCACAUUGGGACUGAGACACGGCCCAAACUCCUACGGGAGGCAGCAGUGGGGAAUAUUGGACAAUGGGCGAAAGCCUGAUCCAGCCAUGCCGCGUGAGUGAUGAAGGCCUUAGGGUUGUAAAGCUCUUUUAUCCGGGAAGAUAAUGACUGUACUGGAAGAAUAAGCCCCGGCUAACUUCGUGCCAGCAGCCGCGGUAAUACGAAGGGGGCUAGCGUUGCUCGGAAUCACUGGGCGUAAAGGGCGCGUAGGCGGAUGAUUAAGUCGGAGGUGAAAGCCCAGGGCUCAACCCUGGAAUUGCCUUCGAUACUGAUCGUCUCGAGAAUGGAAGAGGUAAGUGGAAUACCGAGUGUAGAGGUGAAAUUCGUAGAUAUUCGGUGGAACACCAGUGGCGAAGGCGACUUACUGGUCCAUUUCUGACGCUGAGGCGCGAAAGCGUGGGGAUCAAACAGGAUUAGAUACCCUGGUAGUCCACGCCGUAAACGAUGAAUGCCAGCCGUUGGGGAGCUUGCUCUUCAGUGGCGCAGCUAACGCUUUAAGCAUUCCGCCUGGGGAGUACGGUCGCAAGAUUAAAACUCAAAGGAAUUGACGG